UACAGGGGGGCCAAGUAUUAUUCUACAUGACUAGGCGUAAAGGAUAUGUAGGUUGUUUUUUUAUUUUAUUAAUUGGAAAUGCUAUGAAAAAAUUAUAGAUAGCUUUAAUAAAUUAUGAAACUUUGAGUUUAUAAAAGAUAAAAGAAUAUGCUAUUAGAGUAACAGUGAAAUGUGGAGAGACUAGAGAGAAUUCCAAGUGGCGAAAGCAUUUAUCUUGUUAAAACUGACACUGAAAUAUGAAGGUAUGGGGAGCAAAUAGG
rnacentral:rRNA from 1 species